rnacentral:rRNA from 1 species
CCUACGGGUGGCAGCAGUGAGGAAUAUUGGUCAAUGGGCGCGAGCCUGAACCAGCCAAGUAGCGUGAAGGAUGACUGCCCUACGGGUUGUAAAUUUUUUUUAUAAAGGAAUAAAGUGAGGCACGUGUGCCUUUUUGUAUGUCCUUUAUGAAUAAGGCUCGGCUAACUCCGUGCCAGCAGCCGCGGUAAUACGGAGGAUCCGAGCGUUAUCCGGAUUUAGUGGGUUUAAAGGGAGCGUAGAUGGGUGGUUAAGUCAGUUGUGAAAGUUUGCGGCUCAACCGUAAGAUUGCAAUUGAUACUGGCAGUCUUGAGUACAGUUGAGGUAGGCGGAAUUCGGGGUGUAGCGGUGAAAUGCGUAGAUAUCACGAAGAACUCCGAUUGCGAAGGCAGCUUACUAAACUGCCACUGACAUUGAUGCUCGAAAGUGUGGGUAUCAAACAGGAUUAGAUACCCCUGUAGUC